ensembl:lncRNA LINC01082 long intergenic non-protein coding RNA 1082
AGAGUGGUUAUCUCGAGAAAGCGGCUCCUGAAAAAUGUCUCCCUUAACAUGGAAGCACCCGGCAGAGGCUGAUCUGUGGGGCUGGGGAGAAAUGGAGCAAUCGCCAACACUCCAGGCUCGUCUGUGAACCCCAAAUUCCAUUAAGAAAAGAAACUGCUUAGCAAGACCCUUUUGAAAGCCCCGGGGUGCUAAAGGAGCAGAAGGAAAGCCCGGCUUAGCAUCCACACGGCCACCAAAGCUCGGAGGGCAGAGACUGCCGGGAGGAACUGAUCUGAUGAGAGGAUCCAUGAGAGAGCAGGGCAACUGCACUAAGUGCCCAUUUCUCCAACACGGACAGGGCACCGGGGAGCUUGGCUAACAUGGUCACUCAGCCUUCCUUUGUGGAAUCACAGGACAGGAGCCUGCUUUGGGCCAGCAUUUACAAAAACUGUCUUUUUUGGCCCCUGGACCCUGAUGAAUAGAAAAACGCUGCAGUCUGCAAACCCACUGCAAUCGCCGCGUCAGCUCAGAGCCGAGAUGCUUCCCAAAUGAACACCUGGAUGGUGUAAAUCACCCUGACAGUAAACACUUCAGGCCAGGACGCAGGCUGCAGGCGGGGUGGGGUGGCAUCCUCCCACCCAGCUGGGGUCCAUAAACCAGGCACUGGCCCUGCGCUAAUAAAUGCUCCUUUCACAGCAAAAGACCCCUCCUCCCGGGCUGGGAUCACGGUCCCGGUAGAGAGGGUGCUCAGAUAACCGACAGCGUUUCUCCCACCCUCAUCACUGUCCGACUUACCCCGGGCUGGCAUCAGGGAGUGUUGUCAGGCGUUUAUGCCGUUAUGAAUGGCUUUAUGAUACCUCGAGAGGGGGACCAGGGCCACCGGCUUCAUGGUGGCUAUUUUCUGAAGGUGGCAGGAGAAGAUAAAACCAAAAUUCAGGGUUUGCUUUUUAAAUACCAUGCUAGUAAAAUCAGAACAGUAAUGACGGGAACCAAAAGAUCUAUCUGAAAUGUUCCUAAGCACAGACUCGAGAAAUGUAGGGAACUCGAGAGCAGCCACUCGGCCCCAGGAUCAACCCAGCACCGAAGAAAAACAACCAGAAGAAAUUAUUCUUCAGCCUGAAAUGAAGCCGGGAUCAAAUGGUUGCUGAUCAGAGCCCAUAUUUAAAUUGGAAAAGUCAAAUUGAGCAUUAUUAAAUAAAGCUUGUUUAAUAUGUCUCAAACAGAAAA